UACGGGGGGAGCAAGCGUUGUUCGGAUUUACUGGGCGUAAAGGGCGCGUAGGCGGCCACCGCAAGUCGGUUGUGAAAUCUCCGGGCUUAACUUGGGACUGCGUUUGAUACGGAUGGGCUAGAGUUCGGGAGAGGAGAGUGGAAUUCCCAGUGUAGAGGUGAAAUUCGUAGAUAUUGGGAAGAACACCGGUGGCGAAGGCGGCUCUCUGGACCGAGACUGACGCUGAGGCGCGAAAGCGUGGGGGAGCAAACAGG
rnacentral:rRNA from 1 species